UACGGAGGGGGCUAGCGUUGUUCGGAAUUACUGGGCGUAAAGCGCGCGUAGGCGGCUUUGUAAGUUAGAGGUGAAAGCCCGGGGCUCAACCCCGGAACUGCCUUUAAGACUGCAUCGCUUGAAUCCAGGAGAGGUGAGUGGAAUUCCGAGUGUAGAGGUGAAAUUCGUAGAUAUUCGGAGGAACACCAGUGGCGAAGGCGGCUCACUGGCUCGGUACUGACGCUGAGGUGCGAAAGCGUGGGGAGCAAACAGG
rnacentral:rRNA from 1 species